rnacentral:lncRNA from 1 species
CAUCCCUUGUCUAUUCAAAGUAGGACGAAGAAGUGGUACUUGGUUUUAUUAAGGUAUAGGGUGGAGGAGAGAGAAGGGAGAGGCAUGAAUCGUGAUAUGAUCUAGAAGAACAUAAGAGGUGGGAUUAUUCAUGGGUGGUAGAGAAUGACAUUGUUAUGGUAUUUAGGAGGCACAAGAUUUGCCAUUUUCCAAGGGAAGGUGGAUUUGAUUGAAUCAUUGAACCAUAGAACCAACACCGAUUUCUCCAAGAUUUACAGGAUUCUUGUAUAAGUUUCUUUUCAAUUCCAAAUGAUAGAGUUAGUUUAGACUCUCCUUUAAUACACUAUCUGCAAUCAUUUUCCCAUCUAUUUGGAGCUUGAUGGAAUCAAGUGGGAUCUGUGUUCAUUUAAAUUUGAAGACAAGUGGUUUAAGGUCUCAGGAUUUAAUGAUAAAAAUCAAAGAAUGAGGGGUAGAUGUUAAGGUAGAAUGAUAUGUGACUUUCAAGGUCGCCAAUAAGUUCAGGCAAUUAGAUCCAAGCAAGAAGGUUUGGGGAGGGGAGUUGGAAGCAAAGUAAGAUAGCCUUGUUUCAAGACUUGGGAACGCUAGAAAAUAAAUUUUGCUUGUAUUUUUUGUUAUGGAUUUAGAUGUAAAUGAAUAUCUAGUACAAGGAAAAAUGAGCCAACUACCACUGUACCUGGUACCUAGCUUGUCAUUUUAUGUUUGAUUUUUGGUGUUGCUAUAUAUAAUAUGAAGAUCUAUACAAGACUUAUGAAGAAAAUAUUAGUAAAAUUAUCUUUAUCUUCCCUAACAUUAUUCUUAUACUAUCCUUACACCUCUCUUCUUUUUUCCUCUCUCUUUUCCCUCUACCGAUCCCCUUUUUUCUACCUCCUCCAGCUCUAAA